rnacentral:tRNA from 1 species
GCGGGUGUAGCAUAAUGGUAGUGCGCUUGGUUGCCAAUCAAGAUACGUGGGUUCGAUUCCCAUCACCCGCUCCA